rnacentral:rRNA from 1 species
UAUUGGGGCGUAAGCGCGCGCAGGUGGUUUCUUAAGUCUGAUGUGAAAGCCCACGGCUCAACCGUGGAGGGUCAUUGGAAACUGGGAGACUUGAGUGCAUAAGAGGAAAGUGGAAUUCCAUGUGUAGCGGUGAAAUGCGUAGAGAUAUGGAGGAACACCAGUGGCGAAGGCGACUUUCUGGUCUGUAACUGACACUGAGGCGCGAAAGCGUGGGGAGCAAACAGGAUUAGAUACCCUGGUAGUCCACGCCGUAAACGAUGAGUGCUAAGUGUU